GUGAGGAAUAUUGGACAAUGGAUGGAAAUCUGAUCCAGCCAUGCCGCGUGCAGGAAGACGGCCCUAUGGGUUGUAAACUGCUUUUGUAUGGGAGCAAUAAGGGCUACGUGUAGCCUGAUGAGAGUACCAUACGAAUAAGGACCGGCUAACUCCGUGCCAGCAGCCGCAGUAAUACGGAGGGUCCGAGCGUUAUCCGGAUUUAUUGGGUUUAAAGGGUGCGUAGGCGGUUUUAUAAGUCAGCGGUGAAAUUUUCCGGCUCAACCGGGAUACUGCCGUUGAUACUGUAAGGCUAGGAUAUGGUUGCUGUGGGUGGAAUGUGUGGUGUAGCGGUGAAAUGCUUAGAGAUCACACAGAAUAUCGAUUGCGAAGGCAGCUCACAAAGCCAUUAUUGACGCUGAGGCACGAAAGUGUGGGGAUCAAACAGGAUUAGAUACCCCUGUAGUCC
rnacentral:rRNA from 1 species